UACGGGGGGGAGCAAACGUUGUUCGGAAUCACUGGGCGUAAAGGGCGUGUAGGCGGCUGAAUAAGUGGGAUGUUAAAUCCCCCCGGCUCAACCGGGGGACCUGCAUCUCAUACUGUUCAGCUCGAGCACAUCAGAGGAGACUGGAAUUCAUGGUGUAGCAGUGAAAUGCGUAGAGAUCAUGAGGAAGACCAGUGGCGAAGGCGGGUCUCUGGACAGUUCCUGGCACUGAGACACGAAGGCUAGGGGAGCAAACGGG
rnacentral:rRNA from 1 species